GGGGAUUUAGCUCAGUGGUAGAGCGCUUGCCUAGGAAGCGCAGGGCCCUGGGUUCGAUCCCCAGCUCCG
rfam:Rattus norvegicus chromosome 15, whole genome shotgun sequence.